rnacentral:lncRNA from 1 species
UUUCUUUAGUCGGGUAAGUCUUGCUGAGUAAUUCCAUACUCAGGGUUUUAUUCCCUGUUGUUUUUCAGGUUCUAACUUUGUGCUAUUGUUGAUGGUGUUAAGUGCCGGUGGGCUCGGCCUUCUUAUAAGUCUAAGUAACCCUUCUAUACUUCUUAUUGAGGAUGAUCCCUUGAGCUAGCAUAUAUUUCAAACUUAUACUUUUUGUAAUCACUCCGAUAAACUAAUAUAAAAUUUUUGUAACUUGUAAAAUUUGGUAGUAAGAUUUCCGCUGCAAUAAUAUUGGUGUGUGUGAUUUGUAUUACUUAAUCCCGCGAUCUUGGUUGUAAGUGGUUUAUCCGAUGUCCUUGGGGCAAUCGGACAGAUCCUGUUAAGUUAUCUGGUGCACAUGCAUAGCCGUCUGAAGUCUUUGGGACAAGGACAGGUGCAUGUGGGCCCAAUAACUUGGAGGUUCUGCCACAGGCUGGUAUCGGAGCAGGAUUAAGUAUAUACGGUCACAUACGUAUUUUCAAAAUAAAGUUUUGGUUUUAGAAAACCUAUUUUCAACUAAACACAUUGUUUGGCUUUGAAAAACAGUUUUGAAAAACUAUAAUGCUAGCGACAUCCUCUGUUAAGCCCUAUACUAAGGAUUAUCAGGUGGCUUAGUUAAAACCACUAACCCACAACCGGGUGGGUAUUGCAUACAUGUGUAAUGUUAUUUUUGAGGCCAUUCAGUUUUGAAUGGAUCGACGCUCAGGUAAGGUGAGAUGUGAGAGCAUGACCGAACAAACGUCGGUCUAGGGAAGAGUAUAAAAAGCGCUUGAUUAUAUACAUGUUCUACAUAUGUAUAUAUGAAGGCUACGAUGUGGAGUAUUUACUUUUCUGGGAAUUCAGUACCCCAUGGAUGUGUAUGGGUAUACAGACAUGGGAGUACUGAGAAAUGUAAUGUACUUGUAACGACGCACCUACGCUCAGGUAAGAAGGUGAGUUACCAUAAUGAGUUGCCCUAUGGUUAAAGUGUGGCAACGGCGCCUAUGCGUGGCUCGGCGCUUAAUGAUGAGCUGGCCUCCAUAUAGAAAUAUAUGGAGUAUAAACUGUGAUAAACUGUCAUGUGUGAACUGCAUCAUUGGGAAUUGGGUUGUGAUGGAUUUUUCUGCAGGUACACUAACCUCGAAAACGUAUGUGUAGCUGACGAUUAGCAAAAUAUCGAGAGAGAACAUAUGCCACCGAUAUAGAACGCUAUUGCCACAUUAGAUUGGCAAAAACUCGUGAGGACGUGUAGGACGAACAUGCAUCCUGAUUGUUGCAUCAUGUUUGUCACCUAUACACCCAAAAUGCUUCUCUCAUCCUUAUUCCAGUAACCAUUGAUUGUAGAUAAUGUGGUGUAAUGCUGAAUUAUGAACUUCGAUGAAAUAGGUGUCCUUCAUUCUUUAGGUGACCUCUUAGGGUGUUUUAUGUGUUUGCCCUUGUACUUGAUGUGCCGAUAGAAGGUUAGUGACUUGUUUGCCUAAAUCGGAAAUUAGGCCAUGUUCUUAGUUAGUGAGCCAUGACCCAAAGUUGAUUUUUCCGUUAUCAUUCCAUGACCAAACACAUACAAAUAAAUGCUUAGAUAAUUUCUUGUUGGAAAUAAAGUGCACCCAAGCUUAAAACAAGGAUCUCAAGUCAUGUCUCCUUUUAGAACCAUUCCCUUGUUCAGUUGAUGCAGGUUGAGGUCCCUAUUGUAUUCGGCCUCUCCUUGUUGACCAUCUUGUCGCCUUAUCAACCUAACUUAGGAAAGUCAUACCUAAUCAUUUUCCUUCGUUUGAUGCCUUUAGUUCCCCAUCUUUCUCGAAGGCAUACCCACUUAACCUUGUGAUUGUUUUCCCUACGUAUCUAGUCAGAUACUAAUCCUUGACUUGUAAUCCAUCUGAUGGGCAUAGAAAUAUGCUUGGGGCUAAAUUAACAGUCUCUCAUCGUACUUCUUUCAUCAAGUUUAGGUUAUGGCCAUGUCUUGUUUAUUUCAUCGGGCCAUGAUCUAUUUGGCUCUCUACUUGUAACCUUUUUGACAGGUAGAGUAUCUUUGUAUAUUGUCACCCUUGCACAAUUCAUUUGUGUGGUGUGAGAUUUCUUAUUGGUUACAUCUGGUAAUGGUGUUAUGACUAAAACCAGUGGUGUCGUGACGAAACCGAGGGCCUUCUGUGGGUGCGCGCACACGGUUGUGCUGCUCGGCACACGCUAGUGUCACAGUUGGUAGUCAUAAUCCAUUAUGAGAUUAUAUCAAUAUGUUAUCUCUGCACGAAUUGUUCUUACCACAUGAGAUUCAUUAUUGGUGCCAGUUUUAUAAUGGUGUUAUGGUUAAGGACUUAUGGUACCGCGGCGAAACUGAGGGCCUCCUGUGAAUGCGCACACAGGAUUUUGCUGCUUGGCGCAUGCCGGUACCAAGGUCUCUGGUCAUGAUCCAUUGUGGAACUACACUUAUGUGUGAUCUUCUGUGGACUCCUCCCUUGAAACAAUUUCUAUGUUGUUUGUCAAGUUAUCAAGCAACAUCUAUCAUCUCCGUUGGAUCAAAAGGGCAUACCACUUUCCUGUGUGGUCUUAUUUCUUUUGAUCUUGGUAGUGACUACUCAUACAAGUUCCCUUUACAUCCUUUCUGUAAAGGUGAAUCCUUGGAGCUUUUUAGUGUUGGAAAACAACUGAUUAGCUCUCAAACUAGAGAUUGGAUUUUCCCUGCUGCUGAGAUGCAGGAGUUUGUUCAUUCACUCUCUUAUUUAUUCCAUGUAUUCCCUACCCAAGCGGAUAAUGCAUCUCGCAUGAAGAAACGGAUGAACAACAUGACCAAAUGGAUUUCCACCCAAAUGCAUGACCUUUUGCUUGCAAAUGUAAACUCUCAACCCUUGACAUACCAAUGGUACUGAGAGGACCUGCUCAAUGUUAAAAGUAGUUCAACAAGUUGGUUUUACUAACUUGUAACUGCCCAGUUAACAAAGAUUGAGUUUAGAGAUCGUUUUAUCGAGUUGUCUAAACUCACUUUGGUUCAACCCAUCCUAAGGAAGUACUUACAAGAAUCGAGAUUAAGUCGACCAGAAACCACCUAGUCAUCGCUCUAGUCAUGCCUCCAUCGCCUCGCGUGUGCUUUUCCAGCGUGUGUGAUCAUGUCGAGUCAUGCCUAGUGCUUGAUAAAAUGGAAUAGACACGAAGUCUGCAUUUAUAGCUUCCUUGACCAGUGAUUUUUCGAGUCUCUAUCAUUUUCUUGGACUUGGAAUCUCUAGCUAACACGGGUUAACUGUGAUGUUAUUCGACAUUCACACCUGUCUCGUGUGCUAUGAACUUACCAUGACCCCUUGUUAGUAAACCUCUUUCUGUGUGUUUUACCCAGGAGGUUGCAUCUGAUUCUGUUUGGGUAAAAUUGCAUACCUGUCGCUUGCUCAACAGACUCAGAUAGUACAGUAUCGUCAGAAAAAGCAAACUGCACACAUGGAACCUUAUGUGUUCUUUUGGCAGACAUCGCCUCUGCUAAUGGAUAUCUCCAAGUUAGCUUUCGGCGAUACAUGCUAUAUCGACUAGAGAAACGACAUCCUGAGACACUCAUCUUUGCUUGGAGUGUCUCACGAUUAUCGCUGAUAUGGAUAUGGGUUACAUGCUUCUCUACUCUUAGAAGUCUUUCGUUCCGAAUCUCGGGACGAGAUUCUUUUAAGGGGGGAGGGCUGUAACACCCCUGGUGUUUAUAUUCUGCUCGACAGCGAGUACGGGUGUAAGCACGUAAUCAGUGGAUAAAACAGAUGCCAAAAUUUUAAAGUUCUUCGUCUAUCGUGAUUUUAAUAUCGCAUCUGUUCCUUCUGUCGCGAGUGCGACAUCGUUAUUAUUUUUAGCUAUCCGGGCUUGUCCUAAAUUUUCGUAAUGUUCGGGACAUCGUUGUUCCAAAAAUCGGUGCGUCCGGUGAUUAUUUAAAAUUCAUCGCUUGCACGGGUACGAAUUCGGAAGCCCGACUUACUCGGAUAAUUUUUAUCCCGGAUAGAUUAAUUAGAGCUCGACGAUUAAAAUAUUCGGGGUAAAACAAUUCGAAUCGCGUGAAAUCAUGCGCGAGAUUAUGAUCCCAUUCGUUCUUCAGCACGCUGUUGUGGCGACAAAAUCGCGAAUACGAUAGCGGAUUUGGUUUCGGCUAAUUUUAGUCGAAUUCCACAGAGUAAAUUAACGAAGACAAAAUUAGUCUUAUUCGGGCCAUCGUUUCUUGCCCGGAUCCGAAUCUUCGGAUAUAAGUAAUUAGCGAUUAAAUUGGUUCGCUAAAUCCGAAGCAUGUCAUGUGUAUUUGUGUGGUGCGUUAAUCCUUUAUUCAGCGCUAAAAAAAAUGUGAUUCAAAAUAUCUUUAAUUGCCGUUAAGAAAAAGAGAGAGAAAAGAAAAUCCGGAAAAUGGAAAAAUACCCACCGUUCCUAUCUCUUCCACCGCGCGCACGGUCUUCAGAUUUUUUUUCCACGAGCGGUGCUCUUCUCUCCCGCCGUUCUCACUUUCUUCUCUGAUUUCUUGAUUCUUUCUAUCCCAGCGUCGAUCCUUAUCCCCGCCGCUCUUCUCCCCUUCAGAUCUUUCAGCCGUCAGUAUUUAUCUGCGCAGUUCCUCUGAUUCUCAUCCAUCGGCGUUCCUUCGCCCCCAGCUCGGCGCUCAAGCUCCCUUACACCGCGCGCCCUAGCAUCUGCUCACCUCUGCGCGCGCUUCUCUCCAUGGAGCGCUCGACCGGAGCUCUGCUCCCCUGCUCCUCUGCGCCGCGCCCUUGUCUUCAGCCGGCGCUACCUCUUUUUCAGCGACGUCCAGCUUCAUCUCCCUCAACUCCCACGGCCGGAACUCCCGCUGCCGCUCGGCUCUAGUGAAAGAAGCUCCCUGUGCCCAGCGCUCCCUGCUCCAUCUUCUCGUGCGCGUGCGUCCUCGCCGCGCCGAGCGCCGUGAAGUCUCUGCGCGCCGCGGGCUCGAUUCUUUCAUCCCGCGCGCGUCCCCUGUGUUUCUCUGCUCGGCCUCUGUUACUUCUGUUACUCCUCUGCGCGCAGCUGCAUCCCACUGCUUGGCUACGGCUCAUCCGUUGCGCUCGGGUCACCCUGGUAUUCUAGCUCGUCGUCGCGUUGUUUGCCGUCGACCUCGCUAAAUCGCCCUCGCUAAAUCGCCCCUUGCUCGACGCCGGUGAUGGCCGUCGUGGAGCACCGCUGUAAACUCCCAGCACCCUUGCCUCUGCUCUAGGAAAUAUCAAGCCUUGAACAACCAUCAAUUUGUUGCGACGUGUGUGCGCUACUCGUCCCACGUCGUCGUCUUUGUGUGUGGACAGCCCCGUCGCGGCAUGUCUGCCAAAUCAUCGCGUCCGUGCUGAGUUCCCUGGUCAUCGCGUUUUUUCUUAUAGAUGCUCAGUCUUACCGCGCGUCCUGUUUCCUGUUCGCCAGCGCGCCCUCUUGGCUCGCUCGGCUUUAAUUCCCAAUCGUGUCGUCGAUUCCACCGGUUAGCGUCAUUCGUCGUCGCGUCGCGUGUGUAGCUCUAUAUACGUCACUCUCCUGUGUCGUCGUCGUUCCACGUGUCGUCAAGAAAUUCCAAGAGUCGAGUGAAGAUGGAGCCAGCAGUAUGGUGUUCACCAAGUGCGCGACAAAAAGCUCGGACAUCCUGCGCGACUCAAGUUCGAUUUGUCAAAAUUAUUUAGUCGAGGAAAAGAUCUUCAGCAAAUGAUUAUCGAAGAAAAGAAGGCCCCUGGGUGACGUCAACCGGAACCUGUAGUCGUGCUUGCGACUAUCGCGUCGAAUUAGUCAGGAUAAGUUGAUUCGUUUUCCUGUCAACUAGAUCUAUAAAUAGAUUAAUAGAAUUAUUAGUCGCGAUAAUUGUUAUUAAUUUAGUAUACACAUAUUGUGAUGUUCGAUUUAGAUAAAUAGGUAAAUCAAGUAAUUAAGAUACACAGUUUAAAGAGUUAAUAAAAAGCUAGGAAUAAAAAUAGAUAUUCUAGUGUUAUUAUGUCAAUGGAUGUAGUCGAUGCCCUGUUGUGAUAUCCAUGGUGCUUAAUGUUUGGUUUUAAGUGUUUCAUCCUUUUAGUGAGAUUAUCUAUAUUAUACUCGUGCUCAUACAUGUGCAUCAUGCAUCUCAUGAGGUACGAUAAAUAAUCGCGCGAUGCGGAAGACAAGCCAAGUCGACCCCAAGCGCGGACUACUCCGCAGGAUGAAGCUGAUGGAUGAACCGGAAGAUGGAUAAUCUGAAUGAGUGUCAAGCCAAAGGAUACUCGCCAAGUGGUCGCCUAACAAACACUAACCUAGUGUUACUCAGGCAAGCCCCGGUGCAUUUGCCACCUUCCUUGAGGUUUUUAAAAUCUUUCUCACUUGAUUGCUGCAUUAGGUGAUAGGAGUUGAUUGAUAAAACAAUUCCUGCAUUACCUUCCUUGAAUUUGAUUACCUUCCUUGAUCACCCGUUUUACAAAAGAUUUUGAUGCUUAGCCUUGCUUUAGAAAACAAAAUGUUUUGUUUUUACAAACUAUGAUGUGGCAAAGGUGGGUGGGAUGUUUUCGAAAAUAAAACUUGAUGGUGGAUCUGUCAAAGGCCUUGAUGGAUUCAACAUCGGAAAAGAUGUACCUCUGCCAGGUACCAAACUUUGGGUUUGAAAUAAUUAAGCUGAGACCGGGCGGGUGACUUGCACGGGAAAGGAGUCUCGGUGUAGUGUCUCCGUCUGAGUCGAUUAAGGACCUUGUCGAUGUAGGCCUGCUGACCGAGGACCCUUUAACUGGUCACAUGCCUCGUCAUGGGUAAGCUUUGCCUCGGGCGGACUAAGGCCAGAAUAAGAUAACACGAAAUGAGCGUGGAGCGGUGGCGAGAGUAGCGUGUACCCUCCGUGGCAAGAGGCUGGACGGUGGUGUAUCUGUGCUCUCGGUUUGCGUGAACCUGAUCUGGUCUUAAGAACCCCGGUGGCGGGUUGACAUAUGCAAGGGUUAAGUGCUACAUAUGUCGUGUGAUUGGAGAUCCUCAGCUGAGUAUAAUCGAUUCGGAUCGCCGUACCUUCGCGGUUAUGAAGACUUGGUCACUGACUUACACGUAGCAAUCCACUAAAGAUGAUGGUUUUGUUAAGAAAUUGGCUAGUGCAGGACAAGUGAUUGAACUAGGGUAGAAAGAACUCUAGCUGCAGGUAAUUUUACUUAACCUGACAAUAAAAUUCGAUUUUAAGGAUCCACUCGUAGUAAGCUUUUCUGCAAAACAGAGUCUUUGAUUGUUGAUAAGCCAUACCUUGACUCCCUUAAGCCAGCAUACCCUUGAGAGUCUUUUCUUUAGUCGGGUAAGUCUUGCUGAGUAAUUCCAUACUCAGGGUUUUAUUCCCUGUUGUUUUUCAGGUUCUAACUUUGUGCUAUUGUUGAUGGUGUUAAGUGCCGGUGGGCUCGACCUUCUUAUAAGUCUAAGUAACCCUUCUAUACUUCUUAUUGAGGAUGAUCCCUUGAGCUAGCAUAUAUUUCAAACUUAUACUUUUUGUAAUCACUCCGAUAAACUAAU